AAAAAAAAAAAUAGUUCAUCCUCUUCCCCCUAUCUAAGAGCGCCCCUCCCAUUCUCUCUUUCCCCUCCCGUCGCUUUCUCUUCUCCGAGCCAACGAUCGACCCCAAUCACCGGUGGGAUCUCUCUUCCUUUCGUCACGUCCCUUCCUCUCUCCCCCAGGAGCUCCGACUCCGACAGGAAGCCGGCGGCCCUCUCUCCUCCCUUCUUCUUCCCCGACCAACAGCCGACGAGGAUCACCGGCGACUGGUGAAGCUGCCAGCGGCAGCAGAAACUGCUCCAUCGCCCUCCUCUUCUCCAGCAGCGAGCAGCCGACGAGGAGAGCAAAAGCCACAACCGGCGACCAGCGCACAUCCGGCGAGAAGCGAUGGAGCCGGUGAAGGCAGUAGCUGAUGCUCCUACCGAAAUGGGAUGCAAAGCUUCAAUAAGACAGAUCUUUACAUAUCUGUUCGGGUUUUGAACUUAGAGUUCAAGAUCUUGAAGAGUGACCUAGAAGAAAUUGUGGACAAAGCCUCAUUUAUUUUAAUUAUAUAUAUAUGUUUAUUUGUUCUUUUUUUUUUUCUUGUAAUGUUUGUACAACUCUUUCACUCUCAUAUAAAAUAUAUUUGGGGAUCGCCUUAGGAGAGGAGGAAUUAUAUGCUAAUUUGCAAA